GAUGAACGCUAGCGGCAGGCUUAAUACAUGCAAGUCGAGGGGCAUCAAGGUACACGAAAGUGUAUUGUUGGCGACCGGCGGACGGGUGAGUAAUAGGUAGGUAACCUACCUCAUACUGAGGCAUAGCUGGGAGAAAUUCCAGGUAAUUCCUCAUGAGGUUAUAUGACGACAUGUGAUAUAAUCAAAGGUAUCGCAAGGUACUGGUAUGAGAUGGGCUUACUGACCAUUAGCUAGUUGGUGAGAUAAGAGCUCACCAAGGCGAAGAUGGUUAGGGGUUUUGAGAGAGAGAUCCCCCAAUUGGAACUGAGAUACGGUCCAGACUCCUACGGGAGGCAGCAGUAGGGAAUAUUGGGCAAUGGGCGGAAGCCUGACCCAGCCAUGCCGCGUGAAGGAAGACGGCCUUAUGGGUUGUAAACUUCUUUACUAUGCGACUAACUAGAUUUACGAGAUAAUUCUAUAGAAUGUAGCAUAGCAAAAGCACCGG
rnacentral:rRNA from 1 species